rnacentral:rRNA from 1 species
GAUGAACGCUGGCGGCGUGCCUAGCACAUGCAAGUCGAGCGAUUCUCUUCGGAGAAGAGCGGCGGACGGGUGAGUAACGCGUGGGUAACCUGCCCUGUACACACGGAUAACAUACCGAAAGGUAUGCUAAUACGAGAUAAUAUGCUUUUAUCGCAUGGUAGAAGUAUCAAAGCUCCGGCGGUACAGGAUGGACCCGCGUCUGAUUAGCUAGUUGGUAAGGUAACGGCUUACCAAGGCGACGAUCAGUAGCCGACCUGAGAGGGUGAUCGGCCACAUUGGAACUGAGACACGGUCCAAACUCCUACGGGAGGCAGCAGUGGGGAACAUUGCACAAUGGGCGAAAGCCUGAUGCAGCAACGCCGCGUGAGCGAUGAAGGCCUUCGGGUCGUAAAGCUCUGUCCUCAAGGAAGAUAAUGACGGUACUUGAGGAGGAAGCCCCGGCUAACUACGUGCCAGCCGCCGCGGUAA